GACGAACGCUGGCGGCGUGCCUAAUACAUGCAAGUCGAGCGGAGCGGCGGCCGGGUGAGUAAUGCCUAGGAAUCUGCAUGGUAGUGGGCGAUAACGUCCGGAAACGGGCGCUAAUACCACAUACUAUCAGAUCAGCCUAGGUCGGAUUAGCUAGUUGGGGGGUUAACGGCCUACCAAGGCGACGAUCCGUAACUGGACUGAGAGGAUGAGCAGUAACACUGGAACUGAGACACUGUCUGGACGCCUACGGUAGGCCGCAGUAGGGAAUAUUUGGCAAGGGGCGAAAGCCUGAUAGAGCCAUGCCGCGUGUGUGAAGAAGGUCUUCGGAUUGUAAAGCACUUUAAGUAGGGAGGCGUUACCUACAGAAUAAGCACCGGCUAACUUCGUGCCAGCAGCCGCGGUAAUAC
rnacentral:rRNA from 1 species